AACAAGUCUGAGAAUUUUCUAUAAACUUUGAAGUUCUUUUCUACUCCAAAGAUGUGAUACUACCAAAUACCUUUUAAAUAACUACCUUCACUUAGAAUCCAGCAAUUGCUGAUAACCUGCAUGCUUGGUUUGCAAAUGCUACAAACUAUAUAACUGCAAUUGGCUCCCAUAUGUAAACCUAGAAAGUUGAUUGAUUCUGAAACUGAAACUAGAAUACGGAUCUAGUAAUGUCUCAAAGCUACUCUGGAUGCAAAAUGAUUGAUUUGUCAAGUCUGAUGGGAAUGUUAUUGCGAAGUGAUUGAUUCAUAACCUCAGACUGGAUUAUAUAUAUCUGGGAAUAUCAUAGUAUUCAACUAUUCUUAGUGCAACAAAUGGGUGUCAGAAGAGUGAGACCACACAAGGGUUCAUACAGGAUAUUUCUCUAUUAGUCAUUUACUUCAACUUAUUGAAAGCUUUUGCAGCUGAUGUAUACGAAGUACAAGCUUUGAGAUUGAUAAUAUUUUUUCCAUAGUGACCACUGACCAGUUCUCAAUAGCAUUAACGUGGAAGCAUUUUUAA